rnacentral:rRNA from 1 species
GAUGAACGCUGGCGGCGUGCCUAAUACAUGCAAGUCGAGCGAACGGACGAGAAGCUUGCUUCUCUGAUGUUAGCGGCGGACGGGUGAGUAACACGUGGAUAACCUACCUAUAAGACUGGGAUAACUUCGGGAAACCGGAGCUAAUACCGGAUAAUAUUUUUAACCGCAUGGUUCAAAAGUGAAAGACGGUCUUGCUGUCACUUAUAGAUGGAUCCGCGCUGCAUUAGCUAGUUGGUAAGGUAACGGCUUACCAAGGCAACGAUGCAUAGCCGACCUGAGAGGGUGUUCGGCCACACUGGAACUGAGACACGGUCCAGACUCCUACGGGAGGCAGCAGUAGGGAAUCUUCCGCAAAGGGCGAAAGCCUGACGGGGCAACGCCGCGUGAGUGAUGAAGGUCUUCGGAUCGUAAAACUCUGUUAUUAGGGAAGAACAUAUGUGUAAGUAACUGUGCACAUCUUGACGGUACCUAAUCAGAAAGCCACGGCUAACUACGUG